AUGAACGCUAGCUACAGGCUUAACACAUGCAAGUCGAGGGGCAGCAUGAACUUAGCUUGCUAAGUUUGAUGGCGACCGGCGCACGGGUGAGUAACACGUAUCCAACCUGCCGAUGACUCGGGGAUAGCCUUUCGAAAGAAAGAUUAAUACCCGAUGGCAUAGUUCUUCCGCAUGGUAGAACUAUUAAAGAAUUUCGGUCAUCGAUGGGGAUGCGUUCCAUUAGGUUGUUGGCGGGGUAACGGCCCACCAAGCCUUCGAUGGAUAGGGGUUCUGAGAGGAAGGUCCCCCACAUUGGAACUGAGACACGGUCCAAACUCCUACGGGAGGCAGCAGUGAGGAAUAUUGGUCAAUGGACGAGAGUCUGAACCAGCCAAGUAGCGUGAAGGAUGACUGCCCUAUGGGUUGUAAACUUCUUUUAUACGGGAAUAAAGUGAGGCACGUGUGCCUUUUUGUAUGUACCGUAUGAAUAAGGAUCGGCUAACUCCGUGCCAGCAGCCGCGGUAAUACGGAGGAUCCGAGCGUUAUCCGGAUUUAUUGGGUUUAAAGGGAGCGUAGGCGGACGCUUAAGUCAGUUGUGAAAGUUUGCGGCUCAACCGUAAAAUUGCAGUUGAUACUGGGUGUCUUGAGUACAGUAGAGGCAGGCGGAAUUCGUGGUGUAGCGGUGAAAUGCUUAGAUAUCACGAAGAACUCCGAUUGCGAAGGCAGCUUGCUGGACUGUAACUGACGCUGAUGCUCGAAAGUGUGGGUAUCAAACAGGAUUAGAUACCCUGGUAGUCCACACAGUAAACGAUGAAUACUCGCUGUUUGCGAUAUACAGUAAGCGGCCAAGCGAAAGCGUUAAGUAUUCCACCUGGGGAGUACGCCGGCAACGGUGAAACUCAAAGGAAUUGACGGGGGCCCGCACAAGCGGAGGAACAUGUGGUUUAAUUCGAUGAUACGCGAGGAACCUUACCCGGGCUUGAAUUGCAACUGAAUGAUGUGGAGACAUGUCAGCCGCAAGGCAGUUGUGAAGGUGCUGCAUGGUUGUCGUCAGCUCGUGUCGUGAGAUGUUGGGUUAAGUCCCGCAACGAGCGCAACCCCUGUUUCUAGUUGCCAGCACGUCAAGGUGGGAACUCUAGAAAGACUGCCGUAGAUAAUACGGAGGAAGGUGGGGAUGACGUCAAAUCAGCACGGCCCUUACGUCCGGGGCUACACACGUGUUACAAUGGGGGGUACAGAAGGCAGCUACACGGCGACGUGAUGCUAAUCCCGAAAGCCUCUCUCAGUUCGGAUUGGAGUCUGCAACCCGACUCCAUGAAGCUGGAUUCGCUAGUAAUCGCGCAUCAGCCACGGCGCGGUGAAUACGUUCCCGGGCCUUGUACACACCGCCCGUCACACCAUGAGAGUUGGGGAUACCCGAAGCCUGUGAGCCAACAGUUUACUGAGGCAGCAGUCGAAGGUAGAAUCAAUGAUUGGGGUG
rnacentral:rRNA from 1 species